rnacentral:lncRNA from 1 species
AAUCGGUGAUGAGCUUCAGUAGGUGGAUCUACUGAGUACAAUCAUCUUGAGCUCUAAGCCUUUUUAUACAAUCGGCUCAUGCGAAAUUUCCCCCAACAGGUUUCAUAAUCUAGAAUAUCAGAAAUCAUAUUUCUAAUUUUAAGGAUCCAAGAGAAUUAACCAGCUAGAGAUAGUAAAUUUAGCUCUCUAAUAGUUAUUUUCUAUAAAGUAAUAUAGCACAAGCAUGGAGAGCUACAAAAUUGCCGCUUUCU